GUCCUCGUAGUUCAACGGAUAGAACAAGGGUUUCCUAAACCUUAAAUCCGGGUUCGAUUCCCGGCGGGGACACCA
rnacentral:tRNA from 1 species